rnacentral:lncRNA from 1 species
GGAAAAAUCAGGAAGUUGCACAACUGAGAGCUGAACCUCCAUUUCUCCUCACUGCCACCUUCCCAGGCCACUUCCUUUUGCCUCAAGAGACGACUACCCUGCUCUCUCUUGACACUUCACCUACAACAUCCCAGGCUGGUGGAGCAGAGCAUUCAGACCCCUGAGGAAAAGGCCAUGAUGCCCCAGCCCACCACCAGGCUCCUGUUGAGAUGGGCGCAGGCAGAGCAAUGCAAGGCUGGGGGAACACAGCUCAGACCAGGCCCAGGUGGAGAGGCCUUCUGCCCAGAUUGGUUCCACUAGAGGAGCAGGGGCAGGUUCCCCUUCUAUCAUUCACCGGGCAGGAAGAACAGAUGUUUGUGACUGUGUUUUGAGCACAGGGCAACCACAAAGGCCACCAGGAGCGUGAAGAAGGCAGUGAAGGGGACAGCCAGCAUCUGCAGCUCAGCUACCAGUGCACUGUAGGAGUGACGGAUUGCUUGGAUUCUUCAAGGCUGUAAACACUUCCCAGCAGGACCAGCCUCUGGGGAGAGCAGCUGAUUAUUUUUGUCUUUUAAGUGAUUUACUGCUGAUAACCCGGCCAAGCUUCAAGCAUUUGAUGGUGGACGAUGGUCAAACACCCAGCAAACAGUGGAGGCUGGAAGGAUACACCCUGUCUUCCAAAACCCAGCCUGACUCCAAGCACACACACACACAGAAAUGCUUUCUUGUAGGUGCUGGGGACCAGCACCCUACUUGCCCUUCUUGGCAAUCCUGCUGGGCACGGCUGCACCCUCAUUGCAGCAUGCCAGGUCAUGCUCAUGAAGCCUGAUGUACUCUGUAAGGUUUUGUAGGAAACAUAACUCUGUGCAAAGCAGUGUGGAUGCAGUCCUUGUCACUCCAGUAUUUCAGCCCUUGCCUAACCGUGCU